UUGCGAAUAGUCCCAAAAUUUCAAUAUCUUCUACAAAUUAGCCGGAUUGACUUGAAGUGAAGUGGGUAGAUCGGAUCAACACAACAAAGCACACUAUCCAGAUCAAUUCCGGUAGCUUUUGUUUUAUGUUUGAAGAUUUAUAUGGCAUGUAUAGAGUUUGAAUGAAUUGAAGUAAAGAUGUUAUAAACUAGUUAACAAUAUUUGUACUAAAA